rnacentral:rRNA from 1 species
GGAGCUGAAAUCAGUCGAAGAUACCAGCUGGCUGCAACUGUUUAUUAAAAACACAGCACUGUGCAAACACGAAAGUGGACGUAUACGGUGUGACGCCUGCCCGGUGCCGGAAGGUUAAUUGAUGGGGUUAUCCUCACGGAGAAGCUCUUGAUCGAAGCCCCGGUAAACGGCGGCCGUAACUAUAACGGUCCUAAGGUAGCGAAAUUCCUUGUCGGGUAAGUUCCGACCUGCACGAAUGGCGUAAUGAUGGCCAGGCUGUCUCCACCCGAGACUCAGUGAAAUUGAACUCGCUGUGAAGAUGCAGUGUACCCGCGGCAAGACGGAAAGACCCCGUGAACCUUUACUAUAGCUUGACACUGAACACUGGUCCUUGAUGUGUAGGAUAGGUGGGAGGCUUUGAAGUGUGGACGCCAGUCUGCAUGGAGCCAUCCUUGAAAUACCACCCUUUAAUGGCUGGUGUUCUAACGUGGGCCCCUAAUCGGGGUUGCGGACAGUGUCUGGUGGGUAGUUUGACUGGGGCGGUCUCCUCCUAAAGAGUAACGGAGGAGCACGAAGGUCAGCUAAUCCUGGUCGGACAUCAGGAGGUUAGUGCAAUGGCAUAAGCUGGCUUGACUGCGAGCGUGACGGCGCGAGCAGGUGCGAAAGCAGGUCAUAGUGAUCCGGUGGUUCUGAAUGGAAGGGCCAUCGCUCAACGGAUAAAAGGUACUCCGGGGAUAACAGGCUGAUACCGCCCAAGAGUUCAUAUCGACGGCGGUGUUUGGCACCUCGAUGUCGGCUCAUCACAUCCUGGGGCUGAAGUAGGUCCCAAGGGUAUGGCUGUUCGCCAUUUAAAGUGGUACGCGAGCUGGGUUUAGAACGUCGUGAGACAGUUCGGUCCCUAUCUGCCGUGGGCGCUGGAGAAUUGAGGGGGGCUGCUCCUAGUACGAGAGGACCGGAGUGGACGCAUCACUGGUGUUCGGGUUGUCAUGCCAAUGGCAUUGCCCGGUAGCUAAAUGCGGAAGAGAUAAGUGCUGAAAGCAUCUAAGCACGAAACUUGCCCCGAGAUGAGUUCUCCCUGACUCCUUGAGAGUCCUGAAGGAACGUUGAAGACGACGACGUUGAUAGGCCGGGUGUGUAAGCGCAGCGAUGCGUUGAGCUAACCGGUACUAAUGAACCGUGAGGCUUAACCUUACAACGCCGAAG